GACGUACGCUGGCGGCGUGCUUAACACAUGCAAGUCGAACGGAAAGGCCCUGCUUUUGUGGGGUGCUCGAGUGGCGAACGGGUGAGUAACACGUGAGUAACCUGCCCUUGACUUUGGGAUAACUUCAGGAAACUGGGGCUAAUACCGGAUAGGAGCUCCUGCUGCAUGGUGGGGGUUGGAAAGUUUCGGCGGUUGGGGAUGGACUCGCGGCUUAUCAGCUUGUUGGUGGGGUAGUGGCUUACCAAGGCUUUGACGGGUAGCCGGCCUGAGAGGGUGACCGGCGACAUUGGGACUGAGAUACGGCCCAGACUCCUACGGGAGGCAGCAGUGGGGAAUAUUGCACAAUGGGCGGAAGCCUGAUGCAGCAACGCCGCGUGCGGGAUGACGGCCUUCGGGUUGUAAACCGCUUUCGCCUGUGACGAAGCGUGAGUGACGGUAAUGGGUAGAGAAGCACCGGCUAACUACGUG
rnacentral:rRNA from 1 species